rnacentral:rRNA from 1 species
UUGGAGAGUUUGAUCCUGGCUCAGAACGAACGCUGGCGGCGUGCCUAACACAUGCAAGUCGAACGCGAAAGUCCUUCGGGAUGAGUAAAGUGGCGCACGGGUGAGUAACACGUAGGUGACCUGCCUUUUAGAGGGGAAUAACCAGAAGAAAUUUUGGCUAAUGCCGCAUACGAAGUACAAAUCUAAGAGUAGUACUUGAAAGGAUGCCUCUGUAUAUGCAUCCACUAAAAGAUGGGCCUGCGGAACAUUAGCUAGUUGGUGGGGUAAAGGCCUACCAAGGCAACGAUGUUUAUCCGGUCUGAGAGGAUGAUCGGACACACUGGAACUGAGACACGGUCCAGACUCCUACGGGAGGCAGCAGUGGGGAAUAUUGCGCAAUGGGGGAAACCCUGACGCAGCAACGCCGCGUGAGUGAGGAAGGACUUCGGUCUGUAAAGCUCUGUUAAUGUGGAAAAAUGGCAUCGGGUCUAAUAGGCCUGGUGUUUGAUGGUACACAUAGAGGAAGCACCGGCUAACUUCGUGCCAGCAGCCGCGGUAAUACGAAGGGUGCAAGCGUUGUUCGGAUUUAUUGGGCGUAAAGCGCGCGUAGGCGGACCUGCAAGUCAGAUGUGAAAUCUCGGGGCUCAACCCCGAAACUGCGUCUGAAACUACAGGUCUAGAAUCUCGGAGGGGGAAGGGGAAUAUCGCAUGUAGGGGUAAAAUCCGUAGAUAUGCGAUGGAACACCAGAGGCGAAGGCGCCUUCCUGGACGAGUAUUGACGCUGAGGCGCGAAAGCGUGGGGAUCAAACAGGAUUAGAUACCCUGGUAGUCCACGCUGUAAACGAUGAACACUAGGUAUUGGAGGAUUUGACCCCUUCAGUGCCGUAGCUAACGCGUUAAGUGUUCCGCCUGGGAAGUACGGUCGCAAGACUAAAACUCAAAGGAAUUGACGGGGGCCCGCACAAGCGGUGGAUUAUGUGGUUUAAUUCGAAGCAACGCGCAGAACCUUACCUAGGCUUGAAAUCCCAUGAAUCCCUUUUAAACGAGGGAGUGCUCUUCGGAGAAUAUGGUGACAGGCGCUGCAUGGCUGUCGUCAGCUCGUGUCGUGAGAUGUUGGGUUAAGUCUCGCAACGAGCGCAACCCCCAUUUUUAGUUGCCAGCAUUAAGUUGGGCACUCUAGAAAGACUGCCUGGGCUAACCAGGAGGAAGGUGGGGAUGACGUCAAGUCCUCAUGGCCCUUAUGUCUAGGGCUACACACGUAAUACAAUGGUCGGUACAACGGGAUGCGAACUCGCGAGGGGGAGCUAAUCUCAAAAAACCGAUCUCAGUCCGGAUUGGAGUCUGCAACUCGACUCCAUGAAGUUGGAAUCGCUAGUAAUCGCGGAUCAGCACGCCGCGGUGAAUACGUUCCCGGGCCUUGUACACACCGCCCGUCACACCAUGGGAGUUGUUCUUACCUGAAGCCGUGGCCCUAACCGCAAGGAGGGGAGCGUCUACGGUCGGAAUGAUGACUGGGGUGAAGUCGUAACAAGGUAGCCGUAGGGGAACCUGCGGCUGGAUCACCUCCUUU